AUUCGUGAGCAAGAUCCACUUAAACAAGGAUUGAAAC
rnacentral:other from 1 species